AUGAAGGACAAGGUCCUAAAUUGUCCUUCUGGAGCAGACAGAAGCCCCAAGGAGCUUGCCCUUCCUCCUCCCAGCUCUGCUCCCCCGUUCAGAGGGCAGACGCUUCGCGAGCAGGACCCCCCAGUUCAUUGUAUUCUGCAAAGAAGAUGCCCUUCACCCUCUCCUGAGAGAGCCAUCCUGGUGUCAGGGACAAGACAGAUGAAUCUGGAUGGACUUAGCAAAUGUGGGCUACAGGAACAACAGUGA
rnacentral:lncRNA from 1 species